rnacentral:rRNA from 1 species
UGGGGGUCGGAGUUAUCACUCCCAACCCAUGUGAACUUAUCUCUUUGUUGCCUCGGCGCAAGCUACCCGGGACCUCGCGCCCCGGGCGGCCCGCCGGCGGACAAACCAAAACUCUUGUUAUCUUAGUUGAUUAUCUGAGUGUCUUAUUUAAUAAGUCAAAACUUUCAACAACGGAUCUCUUGGUUCUGGCAUCGAUGAAGAACGCAGCGAAAUGCGAUAAGUAAUGUGAAUUGCAGAAUUCAGUGAAUCAUCGAAUCUUUGAACGCACAUUGCGCCCAUUAGUAUUCUAGUGGGCAUGCCUGUUCGAGCGUCAUUUCAACCCCUAAGCACAGCUUAUUGUUGGGAACCUACGGCUUCGUAGUUCCUCAAAGACAUUGGCGGAGUGGCAGUGGUCCUCUGAGCGUAGUAAUCUUUUAUCUCGCUUCUGUUAGGUGCUGCCCCCCCGGCCGUAAAACCCCCAAUUUUUUCUGGUUGACCUCGGAUCAGGUAGGAAUACCCGCUGAACUUAAGCAUAUCAAUAAGCGGAGGA